GAGCAGCAACGCCGCGUGAGCGAUGAAGGCCUUCGGGUUGUAAAGCUCUGUCUUUGCUGACGAAUAAAUGACGGUAAGCAAGGAGGAAGCCACGGCUAACUACGUGCCAGCAGCCGCGGUAAUACGUAGGGUCCGAGCGUUGUCCGGAAUUACUGGGCGUAAAGAGCUCGUAGGUGGUUUGUCGCGUUGUUCGUGAAAACCGGGGGCUUAACCCUCGGCGUGCGGGCGAUACGGGCAGACUUGAGUACUGCAGGGGAGACUGGAAUUCCUGGUGUAGCGGUGGAAUGCGCAGAUAUCAGGAGGAACACCGGUGGCGAAGGCGGGUCUCUGGGCAGUAACUGACGCUGAGGAGCGAAAGCGUGGGGAGCGAACAGGAUUAGAUACCCUGGUAGUCCACGCCGUAAACGGUGGGUACUAGGUGUGGGUUUCCUUCCUUGGGAUCCGUGCCGUACUAACGCAUUAAGUACCCCGCCUGGGGAGUACGGCCGCAAGGCUAAAACUCAAAGGAAUUGACGGAC
rnacentral:rRNA from 1 species